rnacentral:rRNA from 1 species
CAGCUUGUUGGUGAGGUAAUGGCUCACCAAGGCGACGACGGGUAGCCGGCCUGAGAGGGCGACCGGCCACACUGGGACUGAGACACGGCCCAGACUCCUACGGGAGGCAGCAGUGGGGAAUAUUGCGCAAUGGGCGAAAGCCUGACGCAGCGACGCCGCGUGAGGGAUGAAGGCCUUCGGGUUGUAAACCUCUUUCAGCAGGGAAGAAGCGAAAGUGACGGUACCUGCAGAAGAAGCACCGGCUAACUACGUGCCAGCAGCCGCGGUAAUACGUAGGGUGCAAGCGUUGUCCGGAAUUACUGGGCGUAAAGAGCUCGUAGGCGGUCUGUCACGUCGGGUGUGAAAAUCCAGGGCUUAACCCUGGACCUGCAUUCGAUACGGGCAGACUAGAGUUCGGUAGGGGAGACUGGAGUUCCUGGUGUAGCGGUGAAAUGCGCAGAUAUCAGGAGGAACACCGGUGGCGAAGGCGGGUCUCUGGGCCGAUACUGACGCUGAGGAGCGAAAGCGUGGGGAGCGAACAGGAUUAGAUACCCUGGUAGUCCACGCCGUAAACGUUGGGCGCUAGGUGUGGGGAACCUUCCACGUUCUCCGUGCCGCAGCUAACGCAUUAAGCGCCCCGCCUGGGGAGUACGG